GACGAACGCUGGCGGCGUGCUUAACACAUGCAAGUCGAACGGAAAGGCCCUGCUUUUGUGGGGUGCUCGAGUGGCGAACGGGUGAGUAACACGUGAGUAACCUGCCCUUGACUUUGGGAUAACUUCAGGAAACUGGGGCUAAUACCGGAUAGGAGCUCCUGCUGCAUGGUGGGGGUUGGAAAGUUUCGGCGGUUGGGGAUGGACUCGCGGCUUAUCAGCUUGUUGGUGGGGUAGUGGCUUACCAAGGGUUUGACGGGUAGCCGGCCUGGGAGGGUGACCGGCCACAUGGGGACUGAGAUACGGCCCAGACUCCUACGGGAGGCAGCAGUGGGGAAUAUUGCACAAUGGUCGGAAGCCUGAUGCAGCAACGCCGCGUGCGGGAUGACGGCCUUCGGGUUGUAAACCGCUUUCGCCUGUGACGAAGCGUGAGUGACGGUAAUGGGUAAAGAAGCACCGGCUAACUACGUG
rnacentral:rRNA from 1 species